GUUCUUGUAGUUGAAUAACAACAGUGGUUUUUCAUAUCACAGGUCAUGGGGUUUAAUCCGUGCAGGAAUU